AUCUUUUCUUGGCUUUUUAGCUAAAAAAAAAAAUAAUCUGUUCUUAUCAGUUUAAUAUCUGAUACGUCCCCUACCCGGGGACCAUAUAUUAAAUUGAUUUUUGGAGCAGGGAGAUGGAAUAGGGGCUUGCUCCGUCCACUCCACGCAUCGACCUGGUAUUGCAGUAUUUCUAGGAACGGUGCACCCCCU
rnacentral:snRNA from 1 species